AUUGCAACGGUAUGUGUUGUAUUAUGAAAAAUUUAGAAGCGCGCAUUUCUUCCCUCUAUUUUUUUCACCAAAUAUUUGAACAAUACUUGUCUUUAAUUUGCUUCCCUCUAUUCACAAUUCUCAAGUACAGUACCAUUUUCCCCCUUUUCUCCAAUUUUCCCCAUUCUCACCUUAAUUGAUUAUAGAGGACCAUUUUCACAGUACCAUUUUUCCAAUUUCUCCAUUUUCUCAUCUUCUCAAAUCUCAUAUUUUCACAGUAGAUGAGAAGGAGUACGUUUUUGUUGUAGUUGUUGCAUCUGAUUUAAAACCCAGACCUCAAAACUACCAACAAUGGCGCAACCACCGCUGCACCACCACCGCGCUCAUAUACCGACCUCUUCGGCGACCCAAUCUACGAUUUAACCCCUUUAUGGUUCAAGAACAACCUCUUUCUCCCUCCUUUCGACUCCGAAUCCUACAUCUCUAACCUUCAAACCCAGUCCUCUCUCGUUGCACUCAAUUAAUCUCAAGUUACUGCCCACCAUCCCAUUAUUGAGUCUUCAGAAGCAGGUGCAUGAGCAAUUGGUAUGCUGGAACCUACAGGUUCUGCUUUUUGGCUAAUACCUUGUAGUUUUUUUCGUAGUAUCCUUUUUAACUUUAGUUGUUUAGUGUAUGUUUGGCUUUAGGCUGUACUAGUUCUGUGGCUUUCUUUUUGGUGAAUGUUUUAUUUCACGGCAUGCAUAUUCUCUUAUGAUUACCGAUCUUCCACUACUCUCCUUUUGAACACUUCCCUCUUUCAAACAAAAAAUGAAAUAGAGGGUCGUAAUUGCUUGAAAACCAAACCCGAUUUCCUCGGCUUUCUGUAAUUCCUCUUUUUUUCACCCUUUGAUUUGGAUAAUGAAGAGUCAAUGAUAGAUUGAUAGUAGUCUUAGUAGAUUCUUAAUUUUUCUCUUCAAUGUGAAUUAAGGCAACGACACUUGGGCGAUAUCAAUGUCUCAUGUUUUGGUGUGUCAACCGGAUUUAUGGAAGUUGUUCACUAGGACAGUGAUGUAUCAUAUUAUAGCAUUUUUGCCUAACUUACUUUGCCUAUUGAAAAUGUAGAAUAACAUGCUCAGAAAUACAGCAAGGUUCAGUACACUUGUUGAAUUGGUCCCCGCAAAACUAUGAGGCUAGGGCGGGAUGAAAAUUAGAGGUAAAUUUAGGUGCAUGGAUGCAAACUAGUGUCAAGUAAAUCUAAUAAGUCAUAAAAAUAAUAUGCCAAGAAUUUGGGCAUCUUAAUAUGAACAUCUUGCAUUCUUGUCAAACUUUUGGGACAGUAGGUAGAGCAAAAAAAAAAUCUCUUGGUAAAUCGCAUGCUCAAAAGGUACUGUAUAUAUUAGGCCCAGCUUUUUAGUUGAGGUUUCUAAUCUUACUUAAACAAGUAGUAUAUCAUAUCGAUGACUAUUUCAUGGUUUUUUUUCUAUAAGUUCAUGAGCUCAUCAGAACACUUAGUCUUACAUAGUUCAAUAUACUGUCAUGUAUGAGCUUAUGUCAGAAUUUUGGAAAAAGAUAUUAUACCUCCUGUUUUUAUGCCUAGUUGGUAUUUUAACUUGUCAUGGCUGUUGUAUGAGAAGAAAUGGAGAAUGCAACAUGCAUAUAGAGUUAUGUUGGUUCUGAUGUUCAGAUGUUCUGUACUUUUUGUUGAUGCCUCUGUUUAGUAUUAUUGAGUCUGUGUUUGUUUACGUUGCAUAAAAGUGGUUGCACUCGUACUGUACGUCGUAAUUUUACUCUAGGUGUUUAGGGGUGCUGGUUGUUCGUGUAAGUUGUACCCUGUUGUAAGUACAAUAGGAUGCAUUGUUCAGUAAAUUAAGACAACUAAUUUUCAUACUGAAACUGAAGUUAACUAGCUACUUAGACUCUCAAGUAACGAGUUUCUUGCCUUUUUCAUACGAACCCCUUAAAGAGUCAUUUCUAGUUGCUCUUCUAGAGAUUGCAGCUCCUCUAUGUUUAGACCGGAGAGCUUUUGUCCCAUAAGUUGUCUGCCUUAUCAGAAUGGAAAUGAAGUCCCUAAAUAAGUGUAUAUGAACUCUUUGUUUUAGCUACUCUUUUAUAUAUUAAUUGAACUACUACACCAAAUCAUAAUUACCCAAAUGCCUCUUAAGUUUUCUAUUUAAGGCAGACAGUUUCUGCAAAUAUGGUUUAUCUUGAUUUGUAUUGUUUAUUUGAUGGUGGCUCUUAAAAUACUAGAAGAAUGAUUAUACUUUGAUAUGGAUUUUCACCUUCUUCAUUCAGGUUAAAGCUAUAUCUUGUUUGAGAUUGUUUUAGUAGUAAAAAAGGUGAACUAAAAUCCAGAUUCUUCGGUUGUGCAGAAAUUUUGAGGGGUUUAGUAUUAUUUAGAGCUAGAUUCUUCAAGUUGUGCAGAAUUUGAGGGGUUCAAAUUAUUUAGAGCAAGAUUCUUCAAGUUUUGCUGAAUUCCUCUCUCAGUCUAUCACCUCCGACUGCGCAGCGGCGCCUUUACGUUAAUUGAUAACUCCAAUGGCGUUUCGAGGUGUGGGUUUUCAAUUGACAACAACUAUAAACUCGGAUAAGCAGAGGUGUUGUUGUGCUAUAUAACUUGGUGCUCGUUCUACUCAGAUUUCCGUAGGUAAGAAGCCGCUUGUUAUACAAUGAAAAAUAAAAAAUAUCACCCCUCUGAGUGAAUGGGCAGCGUAUAAUUUUCUUCACCCUAAUUUGUAUGAAGAUGUUGAAUUUACUUCUGAGAUGAAGCGAAAUUAGGUUUAUAAUUUGAGUAUUCCUCAAUUCUCUUACUUACUCUCCAAGAUCCGCUCUCUUCAUACUUUAAUUUGUAAGGAUAUAGAGCUUUCUUAUAGGAUACCUCAUGCCUGUGAUGUUUGGAUUAAGAGACAGAAUGACAGGAAAUUGCCAUACCAAGAGAAGCAUGUCCGCCAACAGGCAUCGAUUCUUGGCAACUUGGAGGAUUUUGGGGUUUUGUCUGAGCAAUACUGUCAAUCUGAUCUCUCUGUUGUUGUUGAGUUUGGAGCUGGCAGGGGUUACUUAACCCAGAUAUUAGCUGAUUUUUAUGGGAUCAAUAAGGUCUUUUUGGUUGAGCGUAAGGCAUACAAGCUAAAGGUCAGUGUACAUUAAAACACUUCUUUAUGCUCAUAUAAGAUGUAACUAAACUCAUUAUAUUUAUGCUCAUAUAUCUUAGUAUCUUAAACUUUAGGCUGAUCGAAGUCUACCACAGAUAGACAACUUAACAUUGGAGCGUUUGAGAAUUGACCCUUACUUGCAGGAAGAAAUUGGAAAUAAAGAAUUUAACUGCAUAUGUUCUUGACAAGAUAUGCACAAGGUUACUACAAGAUUGUACGAAGUAUAGUGACUAGCCAUCUAACAAAUGGUGCAUAUAUGUUGGAGACUCUUAUUCAAGUUUCGGCUUUGUGAAGAUUUGGAUAUUUCGGCUUAUAUAUAUGUUGACAAUUUGUAUUUUGGACGAUCAAAUUAAUUAUCUAACUUUUAUUUAUUAUUAGUACGGUAUGUCAUAUCAAAAAUAGGCAAGUAAUAUUUUUGUACGUAUUUUGCAUUAUAAUUAUUAUAUAUAAAUGAUACUUUAAUUUGUUUAUGUUAGUAUAUUUAGAUUUGUACCGACUAAUUAAUAUUAUAUUACCAUUCCAUCCCAACAAAAAAAAAA